UACGUAGGGUGCGAGCGUUGUCCGGAAUUACUGGGCGUAAAGAGCUCGUAGGUGGUUUGUCGCGUUGUCCGUGAAAACUCACAGCUCAACUGUGGGCGUGCGGGCGAUACGGGUAGACUGGAGUACUGCAGGGGAGACUGGAAUUCCUGGUGUAGCGGUGGAAGUGCGCAGAUAUCAGGAGGAACACCGGUGGCGAAGGCGGGUCUCUGGGCAGUAACUGACGCUGGAGGAGCGAAAGCGUGGGGAGCGAACAGG
rnacentral:rRNA from 1 species